UAUCUUCUGAUUUACUACCAUAAACAAUACACUGCCUAAGUCCCCGGCCGGCCGGCGCGAAUUCACUUCAAGUGAAUGCCACUGCCUACGAGUGACCUCAGGUCAGAGUCUUUAAGCACUCUGUAUUUCGAUGUGGUGAUGAGAGUUACCAAUACAGUUACCCCUGUCGUACUUCCCCUAAAGGGUGAGAUUACUUCUCAUGCACAUUUACCUCACCUUGAACGCUUGGUUCUUUUCAUAAGUUCAGGAGAUCUUAGUCAACAACGAUUUGUAUUGGUUGUACAUUGAUUAUUGUAUCUGUUGAUAUGUCUGCAGUCGACUUUCUCUUUUGCUUCUCUUGUAUUGCAACUCCAAUCCCAAUUUUAUAGUAGAGAUGACACUGAAUCAGUAGACAUUUGGGCCGCCAGAAAAUAACAUCUGAAUUUCUGCUACAUAAUUAACACAGGUUAAUGAAUAGAUGCAUCUGGCAAGUAGUGAUGGCUACAACAUAUGGUAACCAUGCGAGCAUAUUGUCGAAGUGUUUUGUUUUAGUUUUUAAAACAAUAUUAGAGUUAAAUAGAACAAGUACCAAAGUAAAUUGUUAUGUAGCAUGCAUCAAUUUCUUAAAUUCAAUGGAAAUAUGUUGUUUUAGAUGGGGUGAUAGAAUAGUACAUGCUCUGAAUUAUUGUCCUUGCAUAACUAUUUGUUGUAGUUAUAGUAAUUUUACUACUCCCUCCGUCCAUAAGUAGAUGUCUUAGAUUUGACAUCUAUUUAUGGACAUACUAAUACUAUGCAACUCAUGAAAUAUCUAGAUUUUUUUAGUAACCUGGAAGAGGCAUCGCGGAAGAAGAACAUAUAAAUGGCUAAUAACAUUGUUGGGAUUUUGGCCUGGCUGGUUCAUUUCUUUGGAAAAUUCUCGGAUAUGUGGUUCUUAUAUAUUGGUUUGGGAAAUCUACACCUCACAUUUUGCAAUGGCUAAUGUCGGAUCAGCGGCAGGCCGGAGGCGGUUGCAGCAAGGGUCGGCAUGGAGCUGAACAACAAGGUCAUGCUGCACAACUGUAGCCACACGAUGUGCAUCAAAGUGCUAUCGUCAAUGAUUUCUAAAAGAAGUCUGCAAGGAGGAGAAAUCACAGCUAGCAUCAAGAAGAUCCUAAAUUGCUAAUUAUUUGAUUUCAUAUUCAAGCUAUUUGUUCGCCAAAAAUAAUUUAAGUUGCUCCAAAAACUGCAGCUGAGAUGAAGAUCAGCAGGAUGGCUGCUACGGUCCCAGCUUGGUAUUAGUUAUUUCUAAAAAAGUAUAAGUUUUUCCUAGAUUCAAGUCCAUCAUGUCAUAUUUUACAGGUGUCAGCCAAACAUAAAUCGAUUUAAAUAUGUUAUUUUAACCAUUUUUAGUGGCGCCUCACAAAUGGAUAGGACGCACCACCUGAGAGGAAGCAUUUGAACCAAAGCUCCUCAUGACAGAGAUGCAUGGUCAGCAAAAAAUCACGAGCAACAUUCUCUUUCGGUGAUAUGCAUUUCUUAAGUGUAAUAGGAGUUGUGAGUUGAGCUACCAUAAGAUCCAGGUAAACAACAUCUUCAUCGAGUUACCUACUUUCAGUACGCCAAUUGUUUUUGGUUGAACAUUUGUAAAAUAUAACUUCUCUGGCAAUUUGUCCUUGAAUACAAAAAAAAUACUUAUGCA